rnacentral:rRNA from 1 species
UACGUAGGGUGCAAGCGUUAAUCGGAAUACUGGGCGUAAAGCGUGCGCAGGCGGUGAUGUAAGACAGGUGUGAAAUCCCCGGGCUUAACCUGGGAACUGCAUUUGUGACUGCAUCGCUGGAGUGCGGCAGAGGGGGAUGGAAUUCCGCGUGUAGCAGUGAAAUGCGUAGAUAUGCGGAGGAACACCGAUGGCGAAGGCAAUCCCCUGGGCCUGCACUGACGCUCAUGCACGAAAGCGUGGGGAGCGAAACAAGGAUUGAU